GGCACAGAGAAACGUCGCCCCCGCUCCCCCGCUCGCGAGGGAGUGGUGCGGGCGACCCUCCUGUAUA
rnacentral:pre_miRNA from 1 species